rnacentral:rRNA from 2 species
UUUUAAUUGAAGGCUUGUAUGAAGGGUCGGACAAAGGAUAAGCUGUCUUUAAUCUUUCUUUUGAAUUUGUCUUUUAAGUGAAAAGACUUAAAUUAUUUUAAGGGACGAUAAGACCCUAUAAAGCUUUAUAUUAAUAUAUUUUUAUUUUAAUUUUUAAUGUUUAUAGAGAUAAAGGUAUUGAAAUAUUAUAUUGGGGUGAUAAGAAUAAUUAAUAAACUGUUCUAAAAUAAACAAAGUUAUUUGUAAGCAUAAUAGAUCCUUUAUAUAGAUUGCAAGUUUAAGUUACUUUAGGGAUAACAGCGUUAUUUUUUUUGAGAGUUCUAAUCGAAAAAAAAGUUUGCGACCUCGAUGUUGAAUUAAAAUUUCUUUAUGGUGUAGCCGUUAUAAAAGAAAGUCUGUUCGACUUUUAAAAUUUUACGUGAUCU